rnacentral:rRNA from 1 species
GACGAACGCUGGCGGCGUGCUUAACACAUGCAAGUCGAACGGAAAGGCCUCUUUCGGGGGGUACUCGAGUGGCGAACGGGUGAGUAACACGUGAGUAACCUGCCCUUGACUUUGGGAUAACUUCAGGAAACUGGGGCUAAUACCGGAUAGGAGCUCCUGCUGCAUGGUGGGGGUUGGAAAGUUUCGGCGGUUGGGGGUGGACUCGCGGCUUAUCAGCUUGUUGGUGGGGUAGUGGCUUACCAAGGCUUUGACGGGUAGCCGGCCUGAGAGGGUGACCGGCCACAUUGGGACUGAGAUACGGCCCAGACUCCGACGGGAGGCAGCAGUGGGGAAUAUUGCACAAUGGGUGGAAGCCUGAUGCAGAAACGCCGUGGGCGGGAUGACGGCCUUAGGGUUGAAAACCGCUUUCGCUCAUGACGAAGCUUUGUGUGACGGUAGUGGGUAAAGAAGCACCGGCUAACUACGUG